UAUGUUAAGGUGUGUUUGCCGUUACCUGAUGACUCGGGUGUGUCCCUGCAGCGAGGUGUGGACUUCUCCACAGCCGUCCCUCCAAGAGUACAGAACUCACCGAGGCGGCGAACACAUGGGACUCGGCCCGGUGAGGGUUCCACUGCACCGUCCCCACGUCCCACUUACUCUGGCGCCCGAUCUUGCGGGGCGCUUCAGACGGAGCCUCCAGGUUCACCAUAUACAGGAAACGCCGCCUGAACAACGGAAACACCAGACACUUUAGAGAAUACUCAUCUUAUCCAGAGUCGUUCACUGACUUCAUGAGGAAUAAUUCUGUUUAAUGUGUUGAACUGUGGUGCGUUCAGGUACAGUGAACUCACCCGGACAGCACAGCGUAUGAGCCCAGACAGUCCACGGACAUGGCUGUGGCCUGAAACACAGACACACAGACCAUUACUCUGACAGCUGCACAUGUUUAUAUUGUUUUAUAUAAACUAAAGUCUGACCAAAACUGAAUUUAUGAGAUGGAGAUAAUAGACAGAUUUGUUUUAUUUCAAUAGGACACAAAUAUUAACUCAGGAUAUUUUAAACUGUUUCUAAAAGCAGAGUGAUUACGGUUAUUUUCUUAUUAUUUUUCUUUUUUUUUUUGUCAUUUUCUGUCUUUUUCUACUUCAAUAUGUAAAAUAUAUGGGUUUGUUUUUUGUUUUGUUUUUUAGUAAUUUUACAUCUUUUGUGCCUACAUCUCUUCUUGUGCCUUUCUUGGGAAUUUUUGUGUCAUUUUUGGUUAUUGUAUGACUUUUUCCUGUAAUUUUACGUCGUCUUUGGUAUUUUUUUUACUACAUUUUACUACAGUGUUUAUAUAUCUUAUAUAAAUGAUCUUUUUUAUGGUUUCUAUAGACAAAUAAACUUCAUGAGAAACUUC